UGGGGAAUAUUGCACAAUGGGGGAAACCCUGAUGCAGCGACGCCGCGUGGAGGAAGAAGGUCUUCGGAUUGUAAACUCCUGUUGUUGAGGAAGAUAAUGACGGUACUCAACAAGGAAGUGACGGCUAACUACGUGCCAGCAGCCGCGGUAAAACGUAGGUCACAAGCGUUGUCCGGAAUUACUGGGUGUAAAGGGAGCGCAGGCGGGAGAACAAGUUGGAAGUGAAAUCCAUGGGCUCAACCCAUGAACUGCUUUACAAACUGUUUUUCUGAGUAGUGCAGAGGUA
rnacentral:rRNA from 1 species